rnacentral:misc_RNA from 1 species
GAUGAAGAACGUAGCGAAAUGCGAUACGUAAUGUGAAUUGCAGAAUUCAGUGAAUCAUCGAAUCUUUGAACGCAUAUUGCGCUCUUUGGUAUUCCGAAGAGCAUGCUUGUUUGAGUAUCAGUAAACACCUCAAAGCUUUUGGAUUUUUUAAUCGAAAAGCUUUGGACUUGAGCAAUCCCAACACCAAUCUUUUUGAGAUCGGUGGCGGGUUGCUUGAAAUGCAGGUGCAGCUGGACAUUCUCCUGAGCUAAAAGCAUAUUCAUUUAGUCCCGUCAAACGGAUUACUACUUUUGCUGCAGCUAACAUAAAGGGAGUUUGACCGUAUUGGCUGACUGAUGCAGGAUUUCACAAGGGUCGGCAACGAUUCUUGUUAAACUCGAUCUCAAAUCAAGUAAGACUACCCGCUGAACUUAAGCAUAUCAAUAAGCGGAGGA